UAGAUACCCUGGUAGUCCAUGCUGUAAACGUUGGGCACUAGGUGUGGGGGGUCUUUCCGGGUCUUCCGCGCCGUAGCUAACGCAUUAAGUGCCCCGCCUGGGGAGUACGGCCGCAAGGCUAAAACUCAAAGGAAUUGACGGGGGCCCGCACAAGCGGCGGAGCAUGCGGAUUAAUUCGAUGCAACGCGAAGAACCUUACCAAGCUUGACAUGGGCCGGUGGUUCCCGGAGACGGGAGCGUCCCCUUUUUG
rnacentral:rRNA from 1 species